rnacentral:rRNA from 1 species
AGUGAACGCUGGCGGUAGGCCUAACACAUGCAAGUCGAACGGCAGCACAGUAAGAGCUUGCUCUUACGGGUGGCGAGUGGCGGACGGGUGAGGAAUACAUCGGAAUCUACUUUUUCGUGGGGGAUAACGUAGGGAAACUUACGCUAAUACCGCAUACGACCUACGGGUGAAAGCAGGGGAUCUUCGGACCUUGCGCGAUUGAAUGAGCCGAUGUCGGAUUAGCUAGUUGGCGGGGUAAAGGCCCACCAAGGCGACGAUCCGUAGCUGGUCUGAGAGGAUGAUCAGCCACACUGGAACUGAGACACGGUCCAGACUCCUACGGGAGGCCGCAGUGGGGAAUAUUGGACAAUGGGCGCAAGCCUGAUCCAGCCAUACCGCGUGGGUGAAGAAGGCCUUCGGGUUGUACAGCCCUUUUGUUGGGAAAGAAAAGCAGCAGGUUAAUACCCCGCUGUUCUGACGGUACCCAAAGAAUAAGCACCGGCUAACUUCGUG